AGUGAACGCUGGCGGUAGGCCUAACACAUGCAAGUCGAACGGCAGCACAGUAAGAGCUUGCUCUUACGGGUGGCGAGUGGCGGACGGGUGAGGAAUACAUCGGAAUCUACUUUUUCGUGGGGGAUAACGUAGGGAAACUUACGCUAAUACCGCAUACGACCUACGGGUGAAAGCAGGGGAUCUUCGGACCUUGCGCGAUUGAUUGAGCUGAUGUCGGAUUAGCUAGUUGGCGGGGUAAAGGCCCACCAAGGCGACGAUCCGUAGCUGGUCUGAGAGGAUGAUCAGCCACACUGGAACUGAGACACGGUCCAGACUCCUACGGGAGGCAGCAGUGGGGAAUAUUGGACAAUGGGCGCAAGCCUGAUCCAGCCAUGCCGCGUGGGUGAAGAAGGCCUUCGGGUUGUAAAGCCCUUUUGUUGGGAAAGAAAAGCAGCAGGUUAAUACCCCGCUGUUCUGACGGUACCCAAAGAAUAAGCACCGGCUAACUUCGUG
rnacentral:rRNA from 1 species